UCUUUGGCAGUCCAGUGGUUAGGACUUGGUGCUUUCACUGCCAUGAGCUUGGGUUCAAUCCCUGGUCAGGGAA
rnacentral:tRNA from 1 species